CCAGCCAUGCCGCGUGCAGUGAUGACGGUCCUAUGGAUUGUAAACUGCUUUUGUACGGGAAGAAACACUCCGACGUGUCGGAGCUUGACGGUACCGUAAGAAUAAGGAUCGGCUAACUCCGUGCCAGCAGCCGCGGUAAUACGGAGGAUCCGAGCGUUAUCCGGAAUCAUUGGGUUUAAAGGGUCCGUAGGCGGUCUGGUAAGUCAGUGGUGAAAGCCCAUCGCUCAACGGUGGAACGGCCAUUGAUACUGCUGGACUUGAAUUACUGGGAAGCAACUAGAAUAUGUAGUGUAGCGGUGAAAUGCUUAGAGAUUACGUGGAAUACCAAUUGCGAAGGCAGGUUGCUACCAGUGGAUUGACGCUGAUGGACGAAAGCGUGGGUAGCGAACAGGAUUACAUACCCUGGUAGUCCACGCCGUAGACGAUGGAUACUAUCUGUUGGGAGCAAUCUCAGUGGCUAACCGAAAGUGAUAAGUAUCCCACCUGGGGAGUACGUUCGCAAGAAUGAAACUCACAGGAAUUGACGGGGGCCCGCACAAGCGGUGGAGCAUGUGGUUUAAUUCGAUGAUACGCGAGGAACCUUACCAAGGCUUAAAUGCAGACUGACCGAUUUGGAAACAGAUCUUUC
rnacentral:rRNA from 1 species